rnacentral:rRNA from 2 species
AACGGCCAUACCAUGCUGAAUAUACCGGUUCUCGUUAGAUCACCGAAGUCAAGCAUCAUUGGGCGCGGUCAGUACUUGGGUGGGUGACCACCUGGGAACACCGCGUGUCGUU